rnacentral:rRNA from 1 species
GGGACUGCGGAGGAUCAUUACCGAGUUUUCGAGCUUCGGCUCGACUCUCCCACCCUUUGUGAACGUACCUCUGUUGCUUUGGCGGCUCCGGCCGCCAAAGGACCUUCAAACUCCAGUCAGUAAACGCAGACGUCUGAUAAACAAGUUAAUAAACUAAAACUUUCAACAACGGAUCUCUUGGUUCUGGCAUCGAUGAAGAACGCAGCGAAAUGCGAUAAGUAAUGUGAAUUGCAGAAUUCAGUGAAUCAUCGAAUCUUUGAACGCACAUUGCGCCCCUUGGUAUUCCGGGGGGCAUGCCUGUUCGAGCGUCAUUACAACCCUCAAGCUCUGCUUGGAAUUGGGCACCGUCCUCACUGCGGACGCGCCUCAAAGACCUCGGCGGUGGCUGUUCAGCCCUCAAGCGUAGUAGAAUACACCUCGCUUUGGAGCGGUUGGCGUCGCCCGCCGGACGAACCUUCUGAACUUUUCUCAAGGUUGACCUCGGAUCAGGUAGGGAUACCCGCUGAACUUAAGCAUAUCAAAAGCCGGAGGAACUU